GGGGAUUUAGCUCAGUGGUAGAGCGCUUGCCUAGCAAGCGCAAGGCCCUGGUAGGUUCAGUCCCCA
rnacentral:tRNA from 1 species